rnacentral:rRNA from 1 species
GACGGGGGGGGCAAGUGUUCUUCGGAAUGACUGGGCGUCAAGGGCACGUAGGCGGUGAAUCGGGUUGAAAGUGAAAGUCGCCAAAAAGUGGCGGAAUGCUCUCGAAACCAAUUCACUUGAGUGGGACAGAGGAGAGUGGAAUUUCGUGUGUAGGGGUGAAAUCCGUAGAUCUACGAAGGAAGGCCAAAAGCGAAGGCAGCUCUCUGGGUCCCUACCGACGCUGGGGUGCGAAAGCAUGGGGAGCGGACAGG